rnacentral:rRNA from 1 species
UACGAAGGGGGCUAGCGUUGCUCGGAAUCACUGGGCGUAAAGCGCACGUAGGCGGAUUGCUAAGUCAGGGGUGAAAUCCUGGAGCUCAACUCCAGAACUGCCCUUGAUACUGGCGGUCUCGAGUCCGGGAGAGGUGAGUGGAACUGCGAGUGUAGAGGUGAAAUUCGUAGAUAUUCGCAAGAACACCAGUGGCGAAGGCGGCUCACUGGCCCGGUACUGACGCUGAGGCGCGAAAGCUAAGGGAGCAAACGGG